rnacentral:rRNA from 1 species
UACGUAGGGUGCAAGCGUUAAUCGGAAUUACUGGGCGUAAAGCGUGCGCAGGCGGCUUUGCAAGACAGAUGUGAAAUCCCCGGGCUUAACCUGGGAACUGCAUUUGUGACUGCAUGGCUGGAGUGCGGCAGAGGGGGAUGGAAUCCGCGUGUAGCAGUGAAAUGCGUAGAUAUGCGGAGGAACACCGAUGGCGAAGGCAAUCCCCUGGACCUGUACGUGACGCUCAUGGACGACCGAAAGGGCGUGGG